rnacentral:lncRNA from 1 species
ACUCCAAGAAAUUUAUGCAGUCACCUUCCUCCGGACUAUCUUGUUUGACGCCAAGGAGCCCAAGCCCAGAAACAAUGGCACUCUUUGGUAUCAACCACCUGGGGACUUUUGAGCUCAGCCAUGACAUCCUGAGAUGGGCUGUUGUGUAAGCCUUCUUCAAAAGGUCAUCCGUUGAUCUUUCUCCUAAUUAGACCAUCAAAACCCUGCAUGGAAUCCAUUGGAGAAGUUGGACAAUAGACAAACUCCAACACAUAUAGACAGUAACGAAGAAUUUAGACCGCAAUCACUGUGGCUGAACAAAUGGGCCUAUUAAAGCCUAUUAAAAGUUGGAACCAUAUUCACCACCCGCAUUUCCUAAGAGAACUAUAUCAGAAUUCUGUAAAUUUGAAACUAUUCUUACAUACUUAACUGUAAAACAAGAGAAAUUGUACUUCCGUAGCAAAGUCUCACUAUUGGUAAGUAUCUGGACUUGGAAAGGAUGCUAGUAGAUUAAGUAAAGGAAAAUUGAAAUCAGACUUUGAGGUGAUAGAUCUAUAUCCACUUUUAUAGGAACCGCAUUAACAUCAUAUGAGACAAAUAAACAAAUAACCCAGUCAAAGUUCAACAAACAAAACAUUAAAACAAGAGUAAUUUGGUCUAUCAAUGUAUAUUUAGAGAUGUCGAUCAAUAGACAAAUACGUAAAAGAGAGACGGAGAGACCUCGAAGCCGUGCUUAAGAACAGUGGUACUCCAAUAACAUCAAAAUGGUUGGUGACCGUUCUAUCAAAUCCACACAAUAGCUGAUAUCUCAUGUUUGCAUAUAGUCCAAUGAAAGCACCAUAACCCGGCGCUUUAGUACUUACUUGAGUUCACUUGAGUUCCAGGAUAAUAUUAUGCCCAAAUCCCCAAUACCUUCUAAUAUCUCACUCACUUGAGUUCAAGCUCCCAAAAUUCACUACAGUGAAACUCUCACAACAAAAUUCUCUUCAAAGAUUCUCUACUCAAAUUUGAUUAAGCUGCUUAGAAUCCUUAACCUGAUAACUUACACAAACAAAAACAACUUGCCUAAAGUUUAAUAUUUAGAGGCAGAACAGUAAAGAAGAAGAUAUAUAUUGAUACUAAAAUUUGACCUGUAUUGAAGCAGAAGAAUCACGACAUCUCAUGUGGGCAAAAUCUUCACAAUACGAGAUGCUUGCAAAAUUGAAGCAGCAUCUUAUCACCUGUAAUUUAAUUAAGACAAUAACUUUCCCCAACUAUUUCAAUGCAUUAUUGGCAACUAAAUUCAGAGAGCGCUAAUUAAAUAUCCUUUUAAUAAUAUCUUCUUAUUCUUCUCCAAUCUAACAGUUAUUUGGAAAUCUGAAAAGAGGUUCAACAUUUUACAACCAAUCAAAAAUCACUGAACCAUUGGAAAGUGAUUUACGUAUAAUUUUUUUUUUUCCAAACUCUGUCCAAAAUGAUGAAUGAGAUAGGAUGACACAAGAAACAAAUGUAAAUUGACCGCAAGUAGAAAUAUACUUCUGUUAUAUUUGCAACAUCUUCUAGUGUCAAUUGCUAUUCCUUGAGCUCUGUUUCUGCAUGUGCUCAAAUGCAACACACAUACCACAAGAUAUAAUUAUCAACA